rnacentral:rRNA from 1 species
UACGUAGGGUGCAAGCGUUGUCCGGAAUUAUUGGGCGUAAAGAGCUCGUAGGCGGUCUGUCGUGUCGGCUGUGAAAUCCCGAGGCUCAACCUCGGGUCUGCAGUCGAUACGGGCAAACUGGAGUGUUGCAGGGGAGACUGGAAUUCCUGGUGUAGCGGUGAAAUGCGCAGAUAUCAGGAGGAACACCGGUGGCGAAGGCGGGUCUCUGGGCAACAACUGACGCUGAGGAGCGAAAGCGUGGGGAGCGAACAGG